rnacentral:rRNA from 1 species
GACAGAGGGUGCGAGCGUUGUUCGGAAUUACUGGGCGUAAAGCGCGUGUAGGCGGCAGCGCAAGUCGGGCGUGAAAUCCCACGGCUCAACCGUGGAAGUGCACUCGAAACUGCGCAGCUAGAGUCCUGGAGAGGAAGGUGGAAUGCUUGGUGUAGAGGUGAAAUUCGUAGAUAUCAAGCGGAACACCGGUGGCGAAGGCGGCCUUCUGGACAGUGACUGACGCUGAGACGCGAAAGCGUGGGGAGCAAACAGG